UACGUAGGUGGCAAGCGUUAUCCGGAAUUAUUGGGCGUAAAGCGCGCGCAGGUGGUUUCUUAAGUCUGAUGUGAAAGCCCACGGCUCAACCGUGGAGGGUCAUUGGAAACUGGGAGACUUGAGUGCAGAAGAGGAAAGUGGAAUUCCAUGUGUAGCGGUGAAAUGCGUAGAGAUAUGGAGGAACACCAGUGGCGAAGGCGGUUGCCUGGGGCUUUGCUGACGCUGAUGCGCGAAAGCGUGGGGAGCGAUCCGG
rnacentral:rRNA from 1 species